ensembl:snRNA LOC120099021 U2 spliceosomal RNA
AUCGCUUCUCGGCCUUUUGGCUAAGAUCAAGUGUAGACUCCAUGAGUUUGGUAUCUUGUCACUUGUACUUUUAUAGAUUUUUCAAGGAUUGAUGCCUGUUCUAGUUAGGUUUUUAUUGCUGUGAUAAACACCAUAACAAAACAACU